rnacentral:sRNA from 1 species
AUCCAAGUCAAACACUACACUUAAGCUUCUUUUUCAAGGUUUUUUUUACCUACCACAUCUACAUUCAUCAUGUCUCCUUGCACCUGCAACUGCUGCUCCGGCGAGUGCAACUCCUGCUCUUGUGCCAGCUGCAAGGUAUGUCAUUGCUUGCU